rnacentral:rRNA from 1 species
UACGGAGGGGGCUAGCGUUGUUCGGAAUUACUGGGCGUAAAGCGCACGUAGGCGGCUUUGUAAGUUAGAGGUGAAAGCCCGGGGCUCAACUCCGGAAUUGCCUUUAAGACUGCAUCGCUAGAAUUGUGGAGAGGUAAGUGGAAUUCCGAGUGUAGAGGUGAAAUUCGUAGAUAUUCGGAAGAACACCAGUGGCGAAGGCGGUCUGCUGGGCCAAGACUGACGCUGAGGCGCGACAGCGGUGGGGAGCAAACAGGAUUA